UUUCUGGUUCAGCGCUGAACACGAACAAACUGUGAUCUCGCCCCGAUGGAAGACAAAAUAUAGUGACUGAAACCCUGUUUAUUGUAAACACUGGGGCUGAGGCUUUCCAAAUGGCUUGCAGAUUACAUAAAGCCCCACAUCCCACGCUCCUCAACGCCGGCUCCAGACCACCUACUUGUUACCGCAUGCUAUCGGGAAUGUUUCUUGGGAAAAAAAAGAGCAAUUAUUGAACACCUUCGGCGUGCAAGGAAGAGGAACCGGCUGACCUCGGAAAAGGACAAACAGCGAGCUGCCGCCUGCCACAGACAGCAGAUUACGCUUUAUCGCAUUUAAAGGACUGGGACCUUGAAAUAAUGCACAUUUAAUAAAAUUACCUGCCAGUAGCGCAGGAAGGCGCACA